UUGAGAGUUUCUAUGUCGCGUGUAUAAGACGAGCGGCGUUGCCACGUCUCCUUCCACCCUCACAAUACUUUGUCUAUCCAGUGAAACCCUCAUGUUUUAAAGUGCGCUUAAUGAACAAAGAGAAGAAGUUUUAUGAAUAGGUAUAACUUUAUUCCAAAUGCAUAGGAAAAGUGACCUGAAACACUCGACCCCAUGAGCCGAACCUCCAAGCGAGACAAACAGACUCUCACGCACGUCAAAAUGUCACGUGCCUCGAUAUGCAAAAUUAUAACGGCUGUGGGAGUAGCUCAUAUUCUUU